CAGAGUCAAAGGAUCCCUCAUUCCAGAAGUCCUUUUAAUUAUCCUUAAUCUCUCUUUUGCAAUGUAAAAAUAAGAAUCGAGUCGAUGUUAAAGUUUACUCACCGAUAUUAUUUCAAUAUAUAUAACAAAUGUUAAUACAAAACCCUCAUAGAUAAUUUGCAGCAUACCCAUGUCUGUUCAAAUCUAUAGGCUUAAUUUUAAACAGUUAACCAGCGAAUUUAUUAAUUGCCCUUCUGCAUACUAAACAUCAGAGGAUACCAAUUAGAUUUUUUACGGCCAUCACAUUCACGAGCAACUUUGACAUCAAUUUAAACAUCUUCUUAUCUAUAGUUGGAGUUAAAUACAUGCAAUAUAUCCACUUCCGAUCAUGUGGACAUUUUCUAUAGUGAUGUAAAACAACAUUGUGGGAUGUGAGGAGAAUUCUGAAAAAAAAAA
rnacentral:lncRNA from 1 species